rnacentral:rRNA from 1 species
GUUGAACGCUGGCGGCAAGCUUUACACAUGCAAGUCGAACGGUAACAGGGUGCUUGCACCGCUGACGAGUGGCGAACGGGUGAGUAAUGCGUCGGAACGUGCCGAGUAGUGGGGGAUAACGCAGCGAAAGUUGUGCUAAUACCGCAUACGUACUGAGGUAGAAAGUGGGGGACCUUCGGGCCUCACGCUAUUCGAGCGGCCGACGUCUGAUUAGCUAGUAGGUGAGGUAAAGGCUCACCUAGGCGACGAUCAGUAGCGGGUCUGAGAGGAUGAUCCGCCACACUGGGACUGAGACACGGCCCAGACUCCUACGGGAGGCAGCAGUGGGGAAUUUUGGACAAUGGGCGAAAGCCUGAUCCAGCCAUGCCGCGUGUCUGAAGAAGGCCUUCGGGUUGUAAAGGACUUUUGUCAGGGAGGAAAUCCCUAGUGCUAAUAACACUGGGGGAUGACAGUACCUGAAGAAUAAGCACCGGCUAACUACGUGCCAGCAGCCGCCGUAA